rnacentral:rRNA from 1 species
UACGGAGGGUGCAAACGUUGCUCGGAAUCAUUGGGCGUAAGCGCACGUAGGCGGCCCAGCAAGUCGGAUGUGAAAGCCCUCGGCUCAACCGAGGAAGUGCAUUCGAAACUGCUGGACUUGAAUAUGGAAGAGGGUCGCGGAAUUCCCGGUGUAGAGGUGAAAUUCGUAGAUAUUGGGAAGAACACCGGUGGCGAAGGCGGCGCUCUGGACCGAGACUGACGCUGAGGCGCGAAAGCGUGGGGAGCAAACAGG